rnacentral:rRNA from 1 species
UGUGCCAGCAGCCGCGGUAAUACGUAGGGUGCGAGCGUUGUCCGGAAUUAUUGGGCGUAAAGGGCUCGUAGGCGGUUUGUCGCGUCGGGAGUGAAAACUCAGGGCUUAACUCUGAGCUUGCUUCCGAUACGGGCAGACUAGAGGUAUGCAGGGGAGAACGGAAUUCCUGGUGUAGCGGUGAAAUGCGCAGAUAUCAGGAGGAACACCGGUGGCGAAGGCGGUUCUCUGGGCAUUACCUGACGCUGAGGAGCGAAAGUGCGGGGAGCG